GAUGAAUGCUGGCGGCGUGCCUAACACAUGCAAGUCGAGCGGCAGCGCGAGUAGUUUACUACUUGGCGGCGAGCGGCGGACGGCUGAGUAACGCGUGGGAACGUGCCCCAAAGUGAGGAAUAACUGCCCGAAAGGGUGGCUAAUGCCGCAUAUGAUCUUCGGAUUAAAGGAUUUAUCCGCUUUGGGAGCGGCCCGCGUCGGAUUAGGUUGUUGGUGAGGUAAUGGCUCACCAAGCCGACGAUCCGUAGCUGGUCUGAGAGGAUGAUCAGCCAGACUGGGACUGAGACACGGCCCAGACUCCUACGGGAGGCAGCAGUGAGGAAUCUUCCACAAUGGGCGAAAGCCUGAUGGAGCAACGCCGCGUGAAGGAUGAAGGCCCUCGGGUUGUAAACUUCUUUUAUAAGUGAAGAAUAUGACGGUAACUUAUGAAUAAGCACCAGCUAACUACGUGCCAGCCGCCGCGGUAA
rnacentral:rRNA from 1 species